AUCAAACUCCACCUGAUUGUAUUUGUCAUAUCGUUGAGUCUUCCUCAGAUCCCAUUUAAUUCCUGAACCCCUCAACAUCACUCCACUGAGAGAAGGCCAGAGAGAGACAGAGACACACAACAGUGUAAAGCCAGAAACUCAGGUUACUGUGGCUGUAAAAAACUCAGUACUCAAGGGGGAGAUUCAAUGGCAUUUCCUUCAAAAGCCUUUGCCAUUAAGCUGGAUGAGUUAUUAUUCAGAUCGUAUUUCAUCUGUACCGACUUCAAGAGCCUUUUCAUCCGCUGACCAGUCCUCGAGGU